rnacentral:lncRNA from 1 species
UCAAAGGUGCUCAUGACAGUAGGGAAAGAAGGGAGGGCGCAUCCGUCAAAAGCUAAGUUUUGGGAAGGGUAGCAAGGAAGGAAGCAACCUUCAUUUGGAAGAGCCAAAAAGGAGGCAACAGUAGCUCAAUGUGGAGGGCAGAACAAAUGGGAGGCAAUGGAAAGGUUAUCAGAAAGGAGCAACCAUUCGGUUGGAGGGAAGGGCGGUUAGGGUACCACCAACUACGGAAAGGAAAUGCAGAGAAGGAUAGAAGCAGCAACUACAAGGUCUCAGGUAAAGAAAGGAAGAAGCUCCUUUUACUUAAACAUUAUACAAACUCUGACAACUUUCUUUUCUACUUUGAAAUGGAAAAAUCCAUUUCUAAAAAAGAUAGAGUGAAUGAUGAAAAUAGGGAAUUAGGAACCGCUAAGGAAAGGGGGUUGGAUAAAUAGACAACAAGGUCUCAGGUAAAGAAAGGAAGAAGCUCCUUUACUUAAACAUUAUACAAACUCUGACAACUUUCUUUUCUACUUUUGAAAUGGAAAAAUCCAUUUCUAAAAAAGAUAGAGUGAAUGAUGAAAAUAGGGAAUUAGGAACCGCUAAGGAAAGGGGGUUGGAUAAAUAGACAACAAGGUCUCAGGUAAAGAAAGGAAAAAGCUCCUUUUACUUGAACAUUAUACAAACUCUGACAACUUUCUUUUCUACUUUGAAAUGGAAAAAUCUAUUUCUAAAAAAGAUAAAGUGAACAAGAAAAAUAGGGAAUUAGGAACUGCUAAGGGAAGGGGGUUGGAUAAAUAGUUGGGAGUGAAAUAGCUUUUUGAGGAUAGAGAGACUUAAACCCUCAUGAUUUUAAAGUUUUAUAAUAUAAUUGCAUGUCUCUCUCAAAUUUUAGGUUUCUUAUGUGUUGAUAUACCCCUCUUGUGUUUCAUCUGAUAGACUCCCAACAGAUAUUCCUAAAAAGAAUAAUGCUCAAAUUGCACAAACCUAGCUAAACAGUUCCUCCUUUUAAAUCUAAUUUCAAAUAAACCCCAAAAAGCAUAUUUCUAAAACCUACUUGACGUUCUCAUUAUAGACUGCCACCAAAGUUUCCACUACAUCCCGUUUUAUUUUCCCACUAGGAGAGGGAGGGAAUGGAUAAAAUCUCGUCAAGUGCUUAAAACAUCAAAUGGCAUUCAUUUUCCUUCCCAAAGUUAACUCAACUCUUACUUGAUAUCACUUGUUUCAAUUAACCCUUAAGCAUCGUCUUCAACAUUUAGUACUCGAAGAUAUCACACAAACACAACCUACAUACCAUCCUACACCUUGUACGACUUCCAUACGUCACCUUCUUCCAUAAUCAACCAAACACCGCAAAAAAAAAAACAUUUCCUCCAAACCCACUGCACUUUUAAAGCAAGUGGGGACACUACAUCUUCAGAUUACAUGUCUACAAGUCUUUACUGAAAAGGAACCAAAGAACCACCA